UUCCAAACAAGUUAGGCUCAAAAACAAGUAGAAUGUCCUGGUGUGCAAUGGCUGCAAACAGCAGCCUUUGUGGUAGUGCAUGCAGCCUGUUGCCUGUAUAGGUUGCCCUAAGGGACCUUGGAGACAGCU
ensembl:snoRNA SNORA70 Small nucleolar RNA SNORA70